CCCUUAGAUGUUCUGGGCCGCACGCGCGCUACACUGAUGCAUUCAACGAGCCUAGCCUUGACCGAGAGGUCCGGGUAAUCUUUGAAACUGCAUCGUGAUGGGGCUAGAUUAUUGCAAUUAUUAAUCUUCAACGAGGAAUGCCUAGUAAGCGUGAUUCAUCAAAUCGCGUUGAUUACGUCCCUGCCCUUUGUACACACCGCCCGUCGCUCCUACCGAUUGAGUGUGUUGGUGAGGAGUUUGGAUUGGCCUCGGAAGGUGGUUCGCCACCGUCCGUAGCUGAGAAGUUCUCCAAACCGCCCCACUUAGAGGAAGGAGAAGUCGUGACA
rnacentral:rRNA from 1 species